GAGGGUGCUCUACAAACCUUAGAGAACAUCUGAAUUAAAAUAUAACAUCCUCAUUCUGCUAAGGAAAUUUCAGCUCUCUUAGAGUUGCUAAAGCAUCUUGUCCAUGUCUUCUCUUGGAGAGUACCUAAAAAAAGUGCAUAUGUAUAUGCAAUAGAAACGUGAGUAAUUUGUUGUGGGGGUUACAUAUGCGAUAAGAGUUUUUCUUGAAGUUUUUUUCAACGUUUUUGUCCUUUAUGGUGCUUUGCCGUCAAAGUAAGAUCCUUGUAGUACACUUAUUACAGUAAACGUUUUGUGAUCACGGCAGAUUGAAUGCGCAUGUGUACAUGAGCAACUGUACCACAACGAUGAGAAACGUAAGUUACAAAGGGCAAUCAUGAUGCGCAUGUUUUUCAUUUUCUUUUUGCGCUUGUUUUUCUGUUUUUCUCUUAUUUUGUUUUUGCUUGUACUUUUUUACUUGUAAGGAUCAGGUUUGAAAAAGAGUAGGGAAAAUAGCGUUGUUUGGUUUUAAAGUGUCGACGCGCCGCACACCCCCCACCCAAAUGUUCGUGGAACACCCCCUUCCGUAAGAUAGCCGACUUUGUUAGCGCGAGAUGGCAAAACGCCAUUACAACCAGGCUGGAGAGAUAUAGCAGUGCGAUAGAAUUCUUCGUUCUUGUAGGUUCUUGUAGCUUUCUUCAAUUCAGGGUUAGCCAUGAGAGGAAUUCUCGCGCGUUUUGCCCUCACGUGCUAACAAACUCAAGUUAUUAUUAUUUGUAAAAAUGCCUGAUGGCUGACUACCUAACUACCUAUAAAUUUCACGCCAGGAGGUACGAAGAGGGAGGUAUAUGGGCUAUAUAGGUAUAUGCGGCCCCAAAGAGUAUAUGAUUUUUUAGCGAACAUUGUCACGACACCAACUCGCGCGGGUGACGCGCGAGAUGAGUGAACGUUCCCAGCAUUCUCUGCAACAACAGUUCGUCCAUGUUGUUGAACCGCGAAAGUUGAACGAGGCUGAAAAAAGGCAGACUAAAAGGUUAAUUUGUCCUUAUUCACUGUGUAUUUAGUACCUUUCCUUGUAGUGCUUUCAUGCUUUGUUCGUAUGGAGGACUUUCUCCUUAUCAGUGUACCUGUUGUAUAUUCAGGGAAGAUCUGCGCUUGGAGCUGGAGAGCUCAGUUAGCGGGCGAUUGAACUCGGAUUGCAGCUGAAGACAAAAUACCUGAGGACAAGACAGGAGGAGGAUAUUAGCCACAAUUUUAUUCUAGAAUGAUGUUUUUUUUUUGUUUUUUUUGUUCUUUUUUGCAAUCCAGGACCAGGUAAACACUUGUGCUCUUAUGCAAUGAUCAAAUCAAAACUUAACCUGGUUCCUUCAGGGGAAUCCCCCAAAGGGCAUCCCUUCAAGGUACGCAAGUCAUCAAAUUCUACAGCAGGAAAACAAUUAAAAUGUACCACUUUUUUUUCUUUUUUUAAUUAAUGCACUAUUAUUAUAGGAUCCAAAAUAGUCAGGGAAAUUUUUGUUUUUCAAAAUCAGGAAAAGUUCAGGGAAUAAAUUAAAAAAUGGGAAGGUUCCCUUUUGUACUGUUCCUUUGAAAAAAAACAAUAACUAGACCAAACUACUGAACUCCAUUCGAAUUAAAACCUAUAGUACAACACACUUUCAAUGCUAAUUACAAUGUAAGAACAGACACUACUCAACUUAUACCAACAACUACUCACCCCUACAGAAGUCACUAUGGUAAUUCUUGACCUCAACAGAACUCACAUGAUGUCCUUCAACCAGCCUCAACACAAACUUCACCAAAAGUAAACCAGUUGAAUCAAACCAGAACUGAUCAGUCACUACUAAUAAUAUGCACCUUUUCAUAGCGGCAUCAGUGCUUUCACGCUAGACAGACUACAUAAUGAUACUUGUGCACUUUUUUUUGUGGUUGGCAACUUGACAGUUGUUCCUUUGUGCACCUCAGAAUGAGACGUACUGUUAUGACUUCCUCAAUCCCCCCACCCCCCCUCCCUGUCACUCCCCAACCUUGUCAUGAUUCACUGUUAUUUCCCAGGGUUCCCCAGGUUAAGGGUUAGUUUUGAUUUGAUCAUUGCAUUCCUUGAUGUAAACCACGUUCUGCUUUUAAUUUUGAAAUACCGCAGACAUGUAAAUGAUUUAAAAUGUUUUCAUUGACUCAGUAAAUAAAUUAGUUUUAAAGUGGAUAACAUUUCAUUUGAUUAUAUUUUAUGUUUUUACUGUAUUUCCUCCUUGAAACCCCUGUUGGACUUCCUGAUUUUUGCCCAUACAUGUAUGUGAGAAGGGGAAGCUCAUUGGAAGAAGGGCAUAAUAGUAAAUCAAAUAUCAAAACUGCAAUUUGUAGGUUGAACAGGAGAUUUGGAAAGACUUCCUUAUUAGAAUGGAGACUUGAUAUAAUCAAUACUGGCAAUUCAAAGUUCUGGGAUUGUACAAAACAAUCAGAUGAUCUGUAUAAAUUUAUUGUUGACACCACCAGGAAAUUCUGUCCUUUUUGACCUCAAAUGGAAGGGCUUAGAAAUUUAAGGCUGAAAGAUUGCUGAGCUGCUGUUUCACUGCUACUCUGUAAUAUGAUCACCCACCAUAUAGAUCAAAACAGGAAAAAGAAAGAGAUUGGGGCUAAUUAUAAGGGAUACUGGAUAGAAGGAGUUGAAAGGAAAUUCUGACUAAAAUUCAUCAUUUAACACCCCCUCCCCCUUCCUUCUCC